AGAACGAACGCUGGCGGCAGGCCUAAUACAUGCAAGUCGAGCGGGCGUAGCAAUACGUCAGCGGCGGACGGGUGAGUAACACGUGGGAACAUGCCCUUCGGUACGGAACAACUCAGGGAAACUUGAGCUAAUACCGUAUGAUCCGGCAACGGCAAAGAUUUAUCGCCGGAGGAUUGGCCCGCGUCCGAUUAGCUAGUUGGUGAGGUAACGGCCCACCAAGGCACCGAUCGGUAGCUGGUUUGAGAGAACGACCAGCCACACUGGGACUGAGACACGGCCCAGACUCCUACGGGAGGCAGCAGUAGGGAAUCUUGGACAAUGGGGGAAACCCUGAUCCAGCCAUGCCGCGUGAGUGAUGAAGGCCUUCGGGUUGUAAAACUCUUUCGACGGGGACGAUAAUGACGGUACCCGUAGAAGAAGCUCCGGCUAACUUCGUGCCAGCAGCCGC
rnacentral:rRNA from 1 species